rnacentral:rRNA from 1 species
CACGCAGGCGGUUUUUUAAGUCAGAUGUGAAAGGUACCGGCUCAACCGGUGACAUGCAUUUGAAACUGAAAGACUUGAGUAUUGGAGAGGCAAGUGGAAUUCCUAGUGUAGCGGUGAAAUGCGUAGAUAUUAGGAGGAACACCGGUGGCGAAGGCGGCUUACUGGACUGUAACUGACGUUGAGGCUCGAAAGUGUGGUAAGCAAACA